CACAACAAUAUCCUGUCGAUACUAUAUGUAUCAUGUGGUCAUGUAUGCAGCCAAUCACAGUCGCUCGUUUUUAUGAAUCUUAUUCAUCAAGCACUCAUCUUAGUGCACUGCUAUAAGAAUGAAUGAUUGUGAUUAUUGGCAUGCAUGAUUAUAUGGUACGUGUCAUGUAGGAUAUAAUUUCUUCACUUUUUGAAAAUUUUUAAGUG
rnacentral:lncRNA from 1 species